UCUAACACCAUAAAGCUAAAAUAGUGUAAUUUCCCAGGCUUCCCUGCAGCAAGGGCAAUGGGAGGUGCUCUAGGUUUGGCCAGUCAGAGACAACUAUCCAUGGCAUGAAGCUGGGUUUAAAUAAUGCUAAAGAAUACAAAUGUGGAUUAAUAAUCAACCCUGUUGAUUGAAUUUCCAGGGGUGGCAGUGGCAGCAACAUUUAGACAAAGUCUCAUGUCCCUGCCAGUCAGAUUGGAAAGUUGAUAGUAAUAACUUCUGCCCGGAUAAAUUUUACAGUAUUAUGUGGGGGGUUGGUCUUGAUGGUGUUCUUGACGUGGGGGGUUUACUUGUGAUUGCUCCUUCAUUCUUCCAGAGGCUUUGUGAGCUUCAAAAUAAACUACAAACAAAUGCCUUCUAGGCACAGAUCAGCCAGAACCAUUUUCUGUUGCUUGCAAUGAAUAACCCUAAAAGGAUGGCCAUCUCUGAACUUUAUCUUCAUUGAGUAGAAAGUCAUCAUCUUCUGGGUAUAUACUGAAUCUCAGAUUCUAGGACUCUGUGACAGUGAAGUCCUUCACACAACAGAAUGGCUGGCUCUUGACACUAUUAUUGACUAAUGAAUGAUUUGCAUUAUCUUUGGGGAGAUUCAAUCAUGGAAACAGGAUGGACAAAUGGACAUUACUCCAGACAUUCAGCUUGGAGUUUCCAGGCUGUCCCAGUCCCUUGAGACCUGUCCUCACACCUUCUCACUAGCACCCCUAGCAAGCCUUGUGGGAUUCGAAGUGGAUUAUUCAAGCUGUUUCCUUAGUGUCUGGUGUACACAGAGGCACAGUGAGUACCUGAACAGAUGAAUGACACUUUGCUUGGUCUUUUCACUUGGAUGUCAGCCUCGCCAGUCUCCAAAUCCACGGGGAAAAAGAAAAGCAUGUGAGUUUCUGUCCCCAUGCCCUCCCCUCAGGAAUGACUUAGAGUUGAAGACACUGGUAUACGUUAAAAGG
rnacentral:lncRNA from 1 species